CCUACGGGAGGCAGCAGUGGGGAAUAUUGCACAAUGGGGGAAACCCUGAUGCAGCAACGCCGCGUGGGUGAAGAAGGGUUUCGGAGCGUAAAGCCCUGUCAGCGGGGAAGAAGAAAGUCGGUACCAGACCAAGAAUCCCCGGCUAACUCCGCGCCAGAAGCCGCGGUAAUACGGAGGGGGCGAGCGUUAUCCGGAAUUACUGGGCGAAAAGGGAACGUAGGUGGUGUGGUAAGCCUGUAGUGAAAGCCACGGGCCCAACCGGGGAACUGCUUUUGAAACUGUUUAGCUUGAGUAUGGGAGAGGUAAGCGGAAUGCCGGGUGUAGCGGUGAAAUGCGUAGAGAUCAGGAGGAACACCGGUGGCGAAGGCGGCUUACUGGACCAUAACUGACGCUGAGGCUCGAAAGCGUGGGGAGCGAACAGGAUUAGAUACCCUAGUAGUC
rnacentral:rRNA from 1 species